GGUUCCAGAUGUUGGCUCGACCUCGCCGGAAUCCUCUCCACCAGGAUCCGCUCGCUUGAGGUUCGUGUCGAGACCAAGACUAAGGACAAUGUGUUUGUGCAAUUGGUUUGCUCAAUACAAUUCCGAAUUGUCAAAGCAAAUGCUGAUGAUGCAUUUUAUGAAUUGCCAAAUCCCAAAGCACUGAUACAAGUUUAUAUAUCUUCGACGUGGUUCCAGCUCUUGUUCCAAGAAUGAAUUUAGAUGAUGUGAGAUCCCACGUUGAUUGAGGAGGAGAACGAAACAUUCUUUUUAAGAAUUUGGAAAACUCUCCCU